rnacentral:rRNA from 1 species
GUAGUCAUAUGCUUGUCUCAAAGAUUAGCCAUGCAUGUCUAAGUAUAAGCAAUUAUACCGCGAAACUGCGAAUGGCUCAUUAUAUAAGUUAUCGUUUAUUUGAUAGUACCUUACUACUUGGAUAACCGUGGUAAUUCUAGAGCUAAUACAUGCUAAAAAUCCCGACUUCGGAAGGGAUGUAUUUAUUAGAUUAAAAACCAAUGCCCUUCGGGGCUCACUGGUGAUUCAUGAUAACUCCUCGAAUCGCAUGGCCUUGUGCCGGCGAUGGUUCAUUCAAAUUUCUUCCCUAUCAACUUUCGAUGUUUGGGUAUUGGCCAAACAUGGUUGCAACGGGUAACGGAGGGUUAGGGCUCGACCCCGGAGAAGGAGCCUGAGAAACGGCUACUACAUCCAAGGAAGGCAGCAGGCGCGCAAAUUACCCAAUCCCGACACGGGGAGGUAGUGACAAUAAAUACUGAUACAGGGCUCUUUUGGGUCUUGUAAUUGGAAUGAGUACAAUUUAAAUCCCUUAACGAGGAACAAUUGGAGGGCAAGUCUGGUGCCAGCAGCC